rnacentral:rRNA from 1 species
GACGAACGCUGGCGGCGUGCUUAACACAUGCAAGUCGAACGGAAAGGCCCUGCUUUUGUGGGGUGCUCGAGUGGCGAACGGGUGAGUAACACGUGAGUAACCUGCCCUUGACUUUGGGAUAACUUCAGGAAACUGGGGCUAAUACCGGAUAGGAGCUCCUGCUGCAUGGUGGGGGUUGGAAAGUUUCGGCGGUUGGGGAUGGACUCGCGGCUUAUCAGCUUGUUGGUGGGGUAGUGGCUUACCAAGGCUUUGACGGGUAGCCGGCCUGGGAGGGUGACCGGCCGGAGUGGGACAUAGGUCCAGCCGAGACGGGGACGGGGGAGGGGAGUGGGGGAUAUAGCAGGAGGGGGGGAGGCCUGAGGCAGCAACGCGUCGGGCGAAGGGACGGCGGUCGUGAGGGAAGCCGCUAAGGCAUGUAACGGAGCGGGAGGGAAGGUGAUGGAUAAAGAAAUGCCGGCUAACUA